GAAAUAGCAAUAUUUUAGUGGCGAACGGGUGAGUAAUGUAUAGGAACUUACUGUAGAGCGCGGGACAGCCUUUGGAAACGAGGAUUAAUACCGCAUAAUACCACUUGUGGGAAAGUCGUAAGACGCUCUUCAAAAGGCCUAUAUCCGAUUAGUUAGUUGGUGGGGUAAAUGCUUACCAAGACUGUGAUCGGUAGCCGAUCUUAGAGGAUGAUCGGCCACACUGGAACUGAGACACGGUCCAGACUCU
rnacentral:rRNA from 1 species